rnacentral:rRNA from 1 species
UACGAAGGGUGCAAGCGUUACUCGGAAUUACUGGGCGUAAAGGGUGCGUAGGUGGUUCUUUAAGUCUGCUGUGAAGGCCCCGGGCUCAACCUGGGAAUGGCAGUGGAUACUGGAGAGCUAGAGUGCGGUAGAGGGUAGUGGAAUUCCUGGUGUAGCGGUGAAAUGCGCAGAUAUCAGGAAGAACACCCGUGGCGAAAGCGGCUCUCUGGGACGGUACUGACGCUGAGACGCGAAAGCGUGGGGAGCGAACAGG